rnacentral:rRNA from 1 species
UACAGAGGGUGCGAGCGUUGUCCGGAAUCACUGGGCGUAAAGGGCGCGUAGGCGGCUCGGUAAGCGUGCGGUGAAAGCCCGGGGCUCAACCCCGGGUCGGCCGUGCGAACUGCGGAGCUGGAGCACUGUAGAGGCAGGUGGAAUUCCGGGUGUAGCGGUGGAAUGCGUAGAGAUCCGGAAGAACAUCAGUGGCGAAGGCGGUCUGCUGGGCCGUUGCUGACGCUGAGGCGCGACAGCGUGGGGAGCAAACAGG